rfam:Naematelia encephala strain 68-887.2 BCR39scaffold_3, whole genome shotgun sequence.
GGACGAGUAGCAUAACGGUCAAUGCGCUGAUAAUGCACUUUCUCCUUGCCGCUGAGGUGAGCUCUGCCCGCCGAAUGCGACAAGGGGCGAGUUAGAUCAUGAGAAUCUAGGUUCGAUUCCUAGCUCGUCCU